AAGUAAAAGUCGUAACAAGGUCUCCGUUGGUGAACCAGCGGAGGGAUCAUUACCGAGUUUACAACUCCCAAACCCCUGUGAACAUACCUUAAUGUUGCCUCGGCGGAUCAGCCCGCGCCCCGUAAAACGGGACGGCCCGCCAGAGGACCCAAACUCUAAUGUUUCUUAUUGUAACUUCUGAGUAAAACAAACAAAUAAAUCAAAACUUUCAACAACGGAUCUCUUGGUUCUGGCAUCGAUGAAGAACGCAGCAAAAUGCGAUAAGUAAUGUGAAUUGCAGAAUUCAGUGAAUCAUCGAAUCUUUGAACGCACAUUGCGCCCGCUGGUAUUCCGGCGGGCAUGCCUGUUCGAGCGUCAUUUCAACCCUCAAGCCCCCGGGUUUGGUGUUGGGGAUCGGCUCUGCCCUUCUGGGCGGUGCCGCCCCCGAAAUACAUUGGCGGUCUCGCUGCAGCCUCCAUUGCGUAGUAGCUAACACCUCGCAACUGGAACGCGGCGCGGCCAUGCCGUAAAACCCCAACUUCUGAAUGUUGACCUCGGAUCAGGUAGGAAUACCCGCUGAACUUAA
rnacentral:rRNA from 1 species